UGAUAAGCGGUGGUAUCCCAAAUCCUGAUAUAAAAUUACAGUUGUCAGUUUUCAAUGUCAGCAGUUUGCCUUUCGGCUGAAUAAAGCAUUCGAUUCAAUCAAAGAGAUAAAUUCCACACUUCAGGAGACGUCCAUAUCCUUUACAUGUUUUUGUUUUACUGGAUGUGUGAACGACCUCAUCAUCCACCUUUUGUAAAAUGGUUACGGAAGAAAUAAAAACGUCAAUGCCGCCACCGUUAAGACAUGAGUGAGUCGCGAUGUCACCGCUUGCGGAAGUUGAAGUAAGCUAAAACCAACUAGCGUUUACUGUACUACAGUGGAUGUUACAGUGACUAUUGAUGCCCUUGGUAGCCUAAGAGGCUAUUCCAGUUAAGCCCGGGCGGGUAGGUAAGCUCACGGGCUCAACCUGUGAGAAUUUGCCAACACUAGCCCUAGCAAGAUCACUACUUAGCAUAAUCUACUACCGGAUCGCAAUCGCGACCCCCUGAGAAGAUCCGGUGAGAAACUCAGUGGACUGUGUCUAUGAGUUAACUGCUGUAGCGGUAACACUGCGGCGUUGGCUCUCGACAACACACUACACAUACUCAACAACGCAACCAUGCUUCGUGAGCACCUGCAUCAAGUCGGAAUUUUAUCUUGCUGUACAUAGAGACUAUAUUGCGACAGACAUGACUACUUAGUAUUAAGUAGUUACAAAACUUCAUAAUAACAUGAACAUACAAGCCAAACAUGAGAACUUCGGUAAGUACCUAAAACGUCAGAAGAGAGUUGACGAAAUGACACUACUCUGGCUACAAUUUUGAGAGAAUAGACCAAAACUGAGUAUAUCUUAUAUAUUGUUCGAUCUUAUUUUAAAUCUCAAACAGGCAUUCAACCUAAUAAAAGUUUUAAUAAUAA